CAAGUCUGUAAUACUCCCUGUUGAUUACAUAUAAAAGACACAAAAUAUUACUUUCUUAAAAGCAGCUUCAACCACUGCUGUACAAAGCAGUUCUCUGAUGGAACAGAUUUAUGAAGUAACAGCUGAAAGGUAUGCAGAUCACAAGAUACAUGACAAAUGUACUUUAUUACAUGGAUCAGAAAUACCACAUGUACUAACAGUUGCUGUACAAUGAUACACAACACCCAACUAAGACUAUUUAAAGGUUUUGCUGAUAUUGAAAACUAUAAAGACACAAUGUGAGAGUAAGAAAGUGUUUCAUAAGAUAGCAUAAUGCCAAGACAAUUCAUCGCUUUAGGAUAUUAAAUACAUUCCGCAUAUUAAAAACUUAAUGUAUUAUAAAGCUAUGCCAUUCUUUAAAUGAAAACUUGAAGGACUUUACUCCAUUCAUUUUUCUUUACAGGACUAUUGCAGUACCAUUCAUUGUUUAAAGCAGAUGUUUAUAACAUUUUUCCAUACUUUAAAGUGGAACUUAAUGGAACGAAUACCAGACCUAACAUUAACAAAAUUAAAGAGAUUUCAUAUUUUAUUUCCACCAAAAAGAUACUUAAGUCUACAGUUAUGUAGUACCAAAAAACUAUGUAGAGCAAAACAAGCAUGAUACAUUUCAAACAUGACAAUUUAUUACGAGGCAUUUUUUUUUGGCUGAAAAGAACUUUAACAGCUUUCAACCCAAAUUCCAAGAACAGUUGGCCCUCUGUAUCUAUGAAUUCUGCAUUUGGGGCUUCGUCCUGAGAUAAAAAAUAUUCAAAAGAAAACUACAGUUGCAUCUGUACUGAACAUGUACCGACUUUUUUUCUUAUCAUUAUUCCCUAAAUACAGUAUAACAACUAUUUACAUAGCAUUUUCAUUGUAUUAUAAGUAAUCUAGAGAUGAUUUAAAGUACAGUCAUGCAUUGCAUGAUGACAUUUCAGUCAAUAUAGGCAGUGGUCCCAUAAGAUUACAGUAGAGCUGAAACAUUCCUAUGGCCCAGUGACACUGUAGCCAUCUUAACAUCACAGUGCAAUGCAUUACUCACGUGUUUGUGGUGAUGCUGGUGUAAACAAACCUACUGUGCUGUCAGUCAUAUAAAGGUAUAGCACAUACAAUUAUGUACAGUUCAUAAUACUUGAUAAUAAUGACUACGGUUUAUGGCUUUACUAUACUUUUUAUUUUAGAGUGUACUCCUUCUACUUAAAGAAAAAGUUGACUGUGAACAGCCUCAGGCAGGUCCUCCAGAAGGUAUUGCACAAGAAGGUGUUGCUCUCAUAGGAGAUGGCAACUCCAUGCCUGUUAUUGCCCCUGAAGGCCUUGCAGUGGGACAAGCUGUGGAGGUGGAAGACAGUGUAGAUGGAGGCUAAUGUGUUUGUGUCUUAGUUUUUAACAAAAAAACUUAAGAAGUAAAAAAAGAAAUUAAAAAAUUAAAAAUUGUGGAAAUAGAAAAAAGCUUAUAAAAAUAUAAAAUAUUUGUGUACAGUUGUACAAUGUAUUUGUGUUUUAAGGUAAGUGUUAUGAUAAAAGGGUUAUACAGUUUAAAAAAUUAAAACGUUUAUAAGGUAAAAAAGUUACAGGAAGCUAAAGUUAAUUUAUUAUUGAAGAAAGUUUUUUAUAAGUUUAUGUAGCCUAAGUGCACAGUGUAUAUAAAGCCUACAGCAGGCCGAGUACAGUGGCUCACGCCUGUAAUCGCAGCACUUUGGGAGGCUGAGGCAGGUGGAUCACCUGAGGUCAGGAGUUCAAGGCCAGCCUGACCAACAUGGAGAAACCUCAUCUCUACCAAAAAUACAAAAUUAGCCGGCCGUGGUGGUGCAUGCCUGUAAUCCUAGCUAGUCGGGAGGUUGAGGCAGAAGAAUUGCUUGAACCCAGGAGGUGGAGGUUGAGGUGAGCUGAGAUUGCGCCAUUGUACUCCAGCCUGGGCAACAAGAGUGAAACUCCGUCUCAAAAAAAAAAAAAAAAAAUAUACAGCAGUAUACAGUCAUGUCUGAGGCCUUCACAUUCACUCAUGGCUUACUCAUUGACUCACCCCAAGCACGAGUCCUCCAAGCACUAUUCAUAAGUGGUACAGGUGUACCAUUUUUUUAUCUUUUAUACUGUAUUUUUACUGUACCUUUUCUAUGUUUAGAUACACAAAUACUUCCCAUUGUGAUACAAUUGCCUACAGUACUCAGUACAGUAACUUGCUUGACCAAUUUGUAGCCUAGAAGCAAUAGGCUAUAUCACAUAGCCUAAGUGUAGUAGACGAUACCCUCUAGAUUUGUGUAAGUACAGUCUAUGAUAUUCACACAAUGAUUAACGAUAUUACCUAGUGACACACUUCUCAGAACACAUCCCAGUCAUUUAGUGACAUAUGACUAUAUAUGGGAGGAUGGGCAUGGGUUAUAUGCAAAUAUUUCACCAGUUUAUGUAAGCGCUUCCUUAAAUCAAAUAAAAGUCUGUCUCUCUGUAGCUUUCCAUCAUAGGUAUUCAUUCUAUACUCUGGGACAGGCGGCUUGCUCACUACUUAGCAGUUGCAUGACUUUGGGUAAAUUUAGUUAACCUUUCAAACUGUUUUCUCAUCUGAAAAUAGGGAUAAUUAAAGUAUUGAUCCCACAGUGUUUUAAAGAUUAAAUAAUAUACAUAAAGCAUUUAAGAGAGUACGCAUUCUCUAAAUGUUGGCUGUUGGGUUAUUUUUACUGCUUGCCUACCAAAUUAAGCUUAUUUGGCAACACAUUGUAUUUUCUCCCCUGCUCUAAAAUAACUGCAAAAGACUCUUGGCAUUCAACUGCGGAAAAUUUAGGGUUUUGUAAGCAGGCCCAAAAGUGGCCCUGGGCCUCCUGGCUACCUGACAGUCCUCUGGAAACAGCAGAGUGACCUUUGACCUGAUGUAAGUAUUUAACAGUCCCACCUCACCCCUAAACAUUUCCUUGUAAAAUUGGUAUGUGUCUACUGCAACAGUGUUUUUAUUAAUACAUGCAGGCAAAUAGAGGGAAAAAGACAUAUAUUUUGUGUUUAGCACAAAUUUGAAUCACUCUGCCAGAUGGCAUCAGAAGUUAGUCACUUAACUAGUAAGAUUAGCCAACAGCUUAGCAUCUGCAUUUCUAUUGUAGUAUUUAUAAAUUUGGCAAUGCCUUAGAUUCCUCCCAAUUUUAUGUUGUGGUCAGCACUUCCCUAAAUUACACAUUGCUGCCCCUCACCAUCACCACCAGUCCAUUUCAGAUAUUUGAUUCAAGUCAUUUAUAGCUAUUUUUCUUCUCCAACUCUUAAGCCAUAUUCCAGAAACACGGAUCCAAAUUUUGAAAAUAUCUGAAUUUCCUAAUAAGCAAAUAUAUACUGCUGCAUCCUUAUUUGAUGUAGCAUGUGAAUUACAUAGUGGGAAGAGAUAUCUACACUAAUGUGACAGUAGAAAAUAGGAUGUGGUCAAAACCACUACUUGAUUCUACCUUAGAGCUUCAACUGCAGUUUGCAUUUCUUCUCUGAUUAGUACCUUGGGCAACUACUGAUCAUGGCCUACACCUUCCCCUUUUGGAUUGGUCAGCCCAUUCCUAAUGAAGUGUCACCUGAGGAAAUCCAGUCUGCCUUAGGCCUAGAGAUUUGAGGAGGGUUCUGUACAUCAUUAUUCUACUUAAACCUGCUCUUUAUCUGAUCCUGAGCCCACAUGAACCCAAUCUAUCACAGGUUGACCCAAAAAUAGGUAUUCUAUCCUAAAAUCACCUUUCUCUCUUAGCAAGAGUUUGCACAUCCUUGAGAGGCAGAAUGGCAUUGUAAGAGUAUAGGCUCUAGAGCCACACUGCCUAAAUUUGAAUCCCAGAUUUCAGUUUUAGUUGUAUGGCCUGUGUGCCUCAGUUUCCCCAUGUGUAAACAGAGAUUACAUUAGUACCAAACUCAGAUAACAUUAGUACCAAACUCAUGAGAUUGCUGGGCAGAUUAAAUGAGUUAAUACUUGAAGCAGUUUUGAUCAUCUUUAAAUUAUAUUUUGAUUUCAGACUUAAUUUCUUAAAACACAAAAAGUGUUACAUUCAAUUCCUAAUGUGAUUUAGCUCACUCAAUCUAAUUCCAAAAUGAUUUGGUGCUUAGCUUGAGCUCCAUCUUGUGGCUUUACAGCAAUUCUCUGGAAAAUGUCAGUCAAAAAGAUGACAAAUUUCAAAAAAAUAAGCUAAUUAUUUAAAAGAUAAAAGGACUAUGCUAUACUUCUCGAUUUGUAAUCUUUAAAAAUAAAGUGCCAAAGAUGUGACCAUACCCCUGCACUAAUUUUGAAAUGCUAGUCUAAAUUUCCUGCCAAUAUUUGGAGGUGGGGAGAAUCUUGCUGGUAGUGUUCAGGAACUCAGUGCCUUAGAGGGUACUGACAACACUGUGUCAGUAAACUUCUCUUCAGCAGUCGCCUUUCCAGAGGCCAUGUGACACUUGAGAACAUGAUUCCCAAAUAUGUUUUCUGGUAAUGGUGCUUUGAUUUUUGAUUUUGUUAACUUUCAAGUUAAAUCCUGAAUGGACAAACUUCAUGACUGGACACAAUGAAGUGAAAAUCCUAACAUCAGAGAGGCUCUGGAUGAAAGCUCAAAGCUACUAUCAACAGAAUCAAAUUAGAGGUUAUCAGCCACAGAAAACAUGAACAUAACCCUGGCAUUGGUCUCUACCUGACAAUGCUGCCAAAAUGUAAAUAAGUGCCAACUGUGUAAUAUCACGAAUGUAGACUUUUUUUUUUUUUUUUUUUGAGAUGGAGUUUCGCUCUUCUUGCUCAGGCUGGAGUGCAAUGGUGUGGUCUUGACUCACUGCAACCUCUGCCUCCCAGGUUCAAGCGAUUCUCCUUCCUCAGCCUCCCAAGUAGCUGGGAUUACAGGCACCUGCCACCAUGCCCAGCUAACUUUGUAUUUUUAGUAGAGACAGGGUUUCACCAUGUUGGUCAGGCUGGUCUCAAACUCCUGACCUCAGGUGAUCCAUCUGCCUCAGCCUCCCAAAUUGUUAGAAUUUGGUGCCUGGCCCCCUUUUCCAAAAAUCAUAAAAAAUGUCUACAUUAGGCCGGGUGUGGUGGCUCACGCAUGUAAUCCCACCACUUUGGGAGGCUGGGGCAGGUGGAUUACUUGAGUCCAGGAGUUUGAGACCAGCCUGGGCAACAUGGCGAAACCCUGUCUCUACAAAAAUACAAAAAUUAGCUGGGCGUGGUGGCACCCACCUGUAGUCCCAGCUACUGGGGAGGCUGAGGUGGGAGAAUCGCUUCAGCCUGGGAGGUGGAGGUUGCAGCGGAGCCACACUUGUGCCAAUCACUCCAGCCUGGGUGACAGAGUGAGACCCCAUCUCAAAAAAAAAAAAAAAAAAAACAUAAAUAAUUCAGCUACUGUAUUUAGGCUGAUAUUGUCAGUGGCUUAACUGGUUGUUUGCAAUUUUUUUUAUUUUAUGAAUAAAAAUGUACAUAUUCACUUUUCCCUCACAAAUGCUAGUGUUAUUCAUACCUACACCAAAGGCAACAAAGAUCAUGAAUGACAUCUUUCAAUUCAUAUCUUUCUUAGCUGUUAAGAAAUUUUAAGCAUUUAAAGUUAUCUACCAACUUUUCAAUAAACUAUUGAGAAAAAUAAGAAAAGUCUACUAUAUUUAAACAAUUCCAAGAGUUUACUGGCAUCAAAUUUUAUAAGCUUAAAUUUUCUGAAACAUUUGGGUCAUGUCCUCUUUAUUACAAUACAUGUCCAUGUAUUGUGCCCCAAUUUAGCAGUGUGCCUGGCACAAAGUUUGUGACCUCAUGACCAAGUGGCCUUAUUCUAUUUCACAUUUUACUUGAGUUCUCCUGGGAAGUUAACAUCUUCUUCUAAACAGAUACACAGCUCUCAGCCCUAUGAGAGCAGAAAUCUUAUCUUAUUCAAUCUGUCCCAAGCAUCUGGAAAGUCCCUGGCCCACAUACUAGGCACUCAGUAAGUAUUUGGUUGUUCCAGUUAACAUAUGAGAUGGUUAAUCUGAUUAUAGUGAAAUUCAGAGGGAAUGCUAAGUUUAGAUUGCUUAACUAAAAGUAAAAUAAAAAUGAAUUUAGCAAACUGUAGUAAGACAGAUUUAACUAAAAAUCAUUUCUCAGAAAACUAGUUUCAAAGAGUAGACGCUAAACAGGUUUCUUUGCUGCUGGAACCCUGUAGGACUAUUCUAAUCCUAAACUAAAAUCUUUUGUAAAUCUUCAAGUAUGUAGCAUUUCCCAAAUCGAUGUGAACACAAUUUAUUUUUUUUAACCAAGCAUCCAGAGGAAACUGAUACUGAAGAACACACUCCGGGGAAUGCUGCAUGAUACUAUAUUAGGCCACACAAUAUUAACACUAAAGAACAUUAAAUCAGUUUCCAUGAAAAACCUGAAAUGUUCUAAUUUCCUAAAAAGCAUACUGAUUUGUAUAUGUUAAUAUUCUACCUAAAAUUAAGAUAAGAAAACAUUUAAUUGAAAUCUGGUCUUCUCUAGGACUAAAAAACCUUAAGCAUACAUGAAAGAAAAAAAAAUCAGACUUGAAGAUCUACACACAAAAUAUCUUUUAUUCUGUGGAAUCAAAGCUCCACACAAGUACUUUAUAAGAUCCAUUAUUUUUUUUUUUUUUGAGACAGA
rnacentral:lncRNA from 1 species